CUUACUUGAGGGCAUGAACUACUUGCAGCUUUAGUGACCAUCUUAAAACAUAAGGGGAACAUCAUCUGUACACAAAAGGCCGGAAUGUAAAAGAGGAAGAAACUGGGUCUUGCAUGACAUCACUGCAUAGCUGAAUCAGAAAUCCCCUUAUCCACAGUUUCGCUUGGACCAUAGGUCAACUGUGAUCCAAAAAUAAUUUCUUCACUGGCGAAUGGGAGGAUGACAUAUAUUUUUUUCACACACUACUGUAAUAAUCAGAUACACUUAAAAAUGGACAAGACAACCAUCUUUGAAAAUUGGCAGCUCUUGGUCUAAGCUGGUACCUCAAAACUAUAGCUUGAACGUACAGCAAAAGCUGACUGUGGACCUUACUGAAUAAAGCUGCCUCUACCCAGACUCAGGGUUCCUUUCAACUCCCUGCUGUGAAAAAGUUUAAAUGGUUAGUUCAAAUGAGUAAGUUUCAACAAACAUAAGAUCACAUGAGACCAUCUCAUUCACACAUCCAUCAUUCUGUGCUGGCCAUCAGACUGCCACUAGACAAAUCUACGUCGAAGCAUGGUAUGUGCUUACAAAGGUUAUUGAGGAGUCUAUCUGGAUA